GAGUUUGAUCAUGGCUCAGGACGAACGCUGGCGGCGUGCUUAACACAUGCAAGUCGAACGGUAAGGCUCCAGCUUGCUGGGGUACACGAGUGGCGAACGGGUGAGUAACACGUGGGUGACCUGCCCUGCACUUCGGGAUAAGCCUGGGAAACUGGGUCUAAUACCGGAUAGGACCGCACCGUGAGGGUGUGGUGGAAAGUUUUUUCGGUGUGGGAUGGGCCCGCGGCCUAUCAGCUUGUUGGUGGGGUAAUGGCCUACCAAGGCGGCGACGGGUAGCCGGCCUGAGAGGGUGGACGGCCACAUUGGGACUGAGACACGGCCCAGACUCCUACGGGAGGCAGCAGUGGGGAAUAUUGCACAAUGGGCGGAAGCCUGAUGCAGCGACGCCGCGUGGGGGAUGACGGCCUCGGUUGUAACU
rnacentral:rRNA from 1 species